rnacentral:rRNA from 1 species
GGGUCAUUAGGUUGGUCGUGCCACCGGUACGUACUGGUCUCACUGAUUCCUCCUUCCUGAAGAACCGUAAUGCCAUUAAUUUGGUGUUGCGGGGAAGCAGGACUGUUACUUUGAAAAAAUUAGAGUGUUUAAAGCAAGCUAACGCUUGAAUACAUUAGCAUGGAAUAAUGAAAUAGGACGAUCGAUCCUAUUUUGUUGGUUUCUAGGAUUGACGUA